rnacentral:ncRNA from 2 species
AAUAAAAGCAGCAACUGACGAGAGCGUGUGGAAUUGACCACAAGGAAGCUGCAAGAAUCACCUAAAAAGCCGUUCGUCUGGGCAGGGGUA